GAGGAGGAGCCCGGAGAUGGGUACUGUGACAAGGACCCAGGCCCUAUGGGGCGCAGCAGGCGCGAAACCUCUGCAAUAGGCGAAAGCCUGACAGGGUUAUUCUGAGUGACUUUCGCUAAGAAAGUCUUUUGACACCUCUAAAAAUGGUGUAGAAUAAGGGGUGGGCAAGUCUGGUGUCAGCCGCCGCGGUAAUACCAGCACCCCGAGUGGUCGGGACGAUUAUUGGGCCUAAAGCAUCCGUAGCCGGUUUUACAAGUCCUCCGUUAAAUCCAACUGCUUAACAGAUGGGCCGCGGAGGAUACUAUAAGACUAGGAGGCAGGAGAGGCAAGCGGUACUCAGUGGGUAGGGGUAAAAUCCGUUGAUCCAUUGAAGACCACCAGUGGCGAAGGCGGCUUGCCAGAAUGCGCUCGACGGUGAGGGAUGAAAGCUGGGGGAGCAAACCGGAUUAGAUACCCGGGUAGUCCCAGCUGUAAACGAUGCAGACUCGGUGAUGGACUAGCUUCAUGCUAGUCCAGUGCCGCAGGGAAGCCGUUAAGUCUGCCGCCUGGGUAGUACGGUCGCAAGACUGAAACUUAA
rnacentral:rRNA from 1 species